ACAUUACCUUUUAAAAUGUGGCUUAUAUCAGAUACCAGUGUGAACUGUUUGCUAUUUCGAACUGACCCGCAUGCGCAAACGAACAAUAACAAUGACGUCACACGCAGCACGCCGUUGCGCUAAAAAGUUGGCGAGGUUAUGGAGGAAGUAUUGUAUCAUCUGGUGCAAGCAAACAUAUCAUAUAAUGCUAUAAUUUGAUGUAUUCAAUGCAAACAUUAUGAGCUGGUUCACGUAACCACUUUAUUUAACACAAACGUUACCAGUCACGUUUUCGCCGGUGCAAAAAAAAAAAAAAAAAAAGGUUUCGCCGGCGCAUAAUUGUGACGAAUGUCUGUAGAUUGACGUAAAAGUCGCAUCAAAUCCGCCUUGGCUGUUCACACUGCGGCCACAUUGAAAAAAAAAAUCGGAUUUGGGCCACUUUUACCUGCAGUGUGAAUGUGGCCUAAGUAACCUAACAUCCUGUUCCCUACAAUCCCCUUAUUUCCCAUCACCUUUUACCCAUAUGCCCAUUUACGGAUUUUCCUCCCCUUGGUUCCCAGGGCCCAGGUCUGGGAGCCCAGGUCUGAGAACCUGGGUCUUCUUCAUUCUACAUAACAAUUUUGAGCCAUGGUCUGGGAACCAUGGUCGUCUUCAUUCUACAUAACAAUGUAUGAGCUAAGGUCUGGGAACCACGGUCUUCUUCAUUCUAAAAAACAAUUUUGUUAUUGUCAUUAAAAAUGUGCUCAAAAGAGCUUUACUUCCUGGUCAAUGUUACAUUUGCCUCUUAGUUUUUUCAUGACAGACGUCCUGAGGAUUAAUCCUUCAUUCAACUACAAUGAAUCCUUCGCCUCAGGGUCAGCCAAUUCAUCCUGGUCACACCAUCCGGAUCUUCCCUCACCAUCCUCGUCCUUCCCCCUACCCAAGGUCAGUGCCUGCUGACGUCAUGGCCGGCUAUCGCCGCUUCCAGCUGCUACACUCCUACUACCCCCGUUUACUAAGUUUUCAUAAUAAACAUUUCCUCUUUUAUCCA